UACGGAGGGGGCUAGCGUUUGUUCGGAAUUACUGGGCGUAAAGCGCACGUAGGCGGCUUUGUAAGUUAGAGGUGAAAGCCCAGGGCUUAGCCCUGGAAUUGCCUUUAAGACUGCAUCGCUAGAAUCGUGGAGAGGUAAGUGGAAUUCCGAGUGUAGAGGUGAAAUUCGUAGAUAUUCGGAAGAACACCAGUGGCGAAGGCGACACACUGGCCCGUUACUGACGGCUGAGGCUCGGAAAGCGUGGGGAGCAAACAGG
rnacentral:rRNA from 1 species